rnacentral:rRNA from 1 species
AACGAACGCUGGCGGCAGGCUUAACACAUGCAAGUCGAGCGCCCCGCAAGGGGAGCGGCAGACGGGUGAGUAACGCGUGGGGAUCUACCCAUCUCUACGGAAUAACGCAUGGAAACGUGUGCUAAUACCGUAUACGUCAUUCGGGAGAAAGAUUUAUCGGAGAUGGAGGAGCCCGCGUUGGAUUAGCUAGUUGGUGGGGUAAAGGCCUACCAAGGCGACGAUCCAUAGCUGGUCUGAGAGGAUGAUCAGCCACACUGGGACUGAAACACGGCCCAGACUCCUACGGGAGGCAGCAGUGGGGAAUAUUGGACAAUGGGCGCAAGCCUGAUCCAGCCAUGCCGCGUGAGUGAUGAAGGCCCUAGGGUUGUAAAGCUCUUUCACCGGUGAAGAUAAUGAAGGUAACCGGAGAAGAAGCCCCGGCUAACUUCGUGCCAGCCGCCGCAGUAAGAC